rnacentral:rRNA from 1 species
UACGUAGGGGGCAAGCGUUGUCCGGAUUUAUUGGGCGUAAAGAGCGUGUAGGCGGCCAGGUAGGUCUGCUGUGAAAACUCGGGGCUUAACCCCGAGCCUGCAGUGGAUACGGGCAGACUAGAGGUAGGUAGGGGAGAAUGGAAUUCCCGGUGUAGCGGUGAAAUGCGCAGAUAUCAGGAGGAACACCGGUGGCGAAGGCGGGUCUCUGGGCCGAUACUGACGCUGAGGAGCGAAAGCGUGGGGAGCGAACAGG